UCCUGACUGACCGAUAGUGAACCAGUACCGUGAGGGAAAGGCGAAAAGAACCCCGGCGAGGGGAGUGAAAAAGAACCUGAAACCGUGUACGUACAAGCAGUGGGAGCACAGGUUUACCUGUGUGACUGCGUACCUUUUGUAUAAUGGGUCAGCGACUUAUAUUCUGUAGCAAGGUUAACCGAAUAGGGGAGCCGGAGGGAAACCGAGUCUUAAUUGGGCGUUAAGUUGCAGGGUAUAGACCCGAAACCCGGUGAUCUAGCCAUGGGCAGGUUGAAGGUUGGGUAACACUAACUGGAGGACCGAACCGACUAAUGUUGAAAAAUUAGCGGAUGACCUGUGGCU
rnacentral:rRNA from 1 species